CAGCAGCCGCGGUAAUACGUAGGACGCGAGCGUUAUCCGGAUUUACUGGGCGUAAAGCGUCUGUAGGCGGAGUGGAAAGUUGGGCGUGAAAGCUCCGGGCUCAACCCGGAGAGGACGUUCAAUACUACCAAACUAGAGGGCAUCAGAGGAGCGUGGAAUUUCCGGUGUAGCGGUAAAAUGCGCAGAUAUCGGAAGGAACACCAGUGGCGAAGGCGGCGCUCUGGGAUGCACCUGACGCUAAGAGACGAAAGCUAGGGGAGCGAACAGGAUUAGAGACCCUGGUAGUCCUAGCCGUAAACGAUGGAUGCUAGGUGUAUGGUCGAGAGACCGUGUGCCGGAGCAAACGCGAUAAGCAUCCCGCCUGGGGACUACGGCCGCAAGGCUAAAACUCAAACGAAUUGACGGGGCCCCGCACAAGCAGCGGAGCGUGUGGUUUAAUUCGAUGCUACACGAAGAACCUUACCUGGGUUUAACAUGUAGGUGGUAGCGAAGCGAAAGCUAAGUGACCCUUCGGGGAGCCUACACAGGUGCUGCAUGGCUGUCGUCAGCUCGUGCCGUGAGGUGUCCGGUUAAGUCCGGUAACGAGCGCAACCCUUACCCUUAGUUAGAAGUGUCUAGGGGGACUGCCGGCGGUAAGCCGGAGGAAGGUGGGGAUGACGUCAAGUCAGCAUGGCCCUUAUAUCCAGGGCUACACACACGCUACAAUGGUUGGUACAAAGGGCAGCGAACCCGCGAGGGGGAGCGAAUCCCACAAAGCCAAUCUUAGUUCGGAUUGCAGGCUGCAACUCGCCUGCAUGAAGCUGGAGUUGCUAGUAACCGCGCGUCAGCUAUAGUGCGGUGAAUACGUUCCCGGGGCUUGUACACACCGCCCGUCACGUCAUGGAAGUUGGUAACGCCUGAAGCUGGUAGCCUAGCUCUAACGGUAGCGGCCGCACUAGUGAAGGGGGCGCCAUCGAAGGCGGGGCCGGCAACUGGGACGAAGUCGUAACAAGGUAGCUGUA
rnacentral:rRNA from 1 species